rnacentral:rRNA from 1 species
UACGAAGGGGGCUAGCGUUGUUCGGAUUUACUGGGCGUAAAGCGCACGUAGGCGGGUUGUUAAGUCAGGGGUGAAAUCCUGGAGCUCAACUCCAGAACUGCCUUUGAUACUGGCGAUCUCGAGUCCGGGAGAGGUGAGUGGAACUGCGAGUGUAGAGGUGAAAUUCGUAGAUAUUCGCAAGAACACCAGUGGCGAAGGCGGCUCACUGGCCCGGUACUGACGCUGAGGUGCGAAAGCGUGGGGAGCAACAGG